GAUUCCCUCAACCAAUCCGCCGUCGAUGAACUUACUGACAUAAGUGAUAUUGCGAGAGACAGACUCAUCCUCGUUCAACACAACCUCGAUUAAAGCUAGAAUAAGACAGUCGGAGCUUGCCGUCGCUGAGACCGCCGCACACAGUCGAUCAUGCAACCACACUUAUUUUUGUCAAAACCCUAAUAUUUUAUUGGGUUGGGCUAUAAACUGUAUGUUGGGUUUUUGUUAAAUGUAUAUUGGGCUUUUUAUCUAAUUUGUAAUGGUUUUUUUAAUUCGAUUUGUAAUAGUGCAAAUGUCUUUUUUUU